CCAGCAGCCGCGGUAAUACGGAGGAGGCAAGCGUUAUCCGGAAUUAUUGGGGGUAAAGCGUCCGUAGGUGGCUAGUCAAGUCUGCGGUCAAAGACUGGGGCUUAACCCUGGAAAGGCCGUGGAAACUGACGAGCUAGAGUGCAGUAGGGGUAGAGGGAAUUCCCGGUGUAGCGGUGAAAUGCGUAGAGCUCGGGAAGAACAUCGGUGGCGAAAGCGCUCUACUGGACUGCAACUGACACUCAGGGACGAAAGCUAGGGGAGCGAAUGGGAUUAGAUACCCCAGUAGUC
rnacentral:rRNA from 1 species